CCAGCUCCAUUCUCUCAGAACAUAUAAAUAUUUCUCCUUUUACUAAAGAUUUCCGCAGAGAGGAAAAACCUGAGUUUUUUUUGUAAUUUUUAUGUGAUCCAGCAUGUUGUUGCAC